rnacentral:rRNA from 1 species
GACGGACGCUGGCGGCGUGCUUAACACAUGCAAGUCGAGCGGUAAGGCUCCUUCGGGGGUACACGAGCGGCGAACGGGUGAGUAACACGUGAGUAAUCUGCCCUUCACUUCGGGAUAACCAUCGGAAACGGUGGCUAAUACCGGAUAUGACUCGUCCCUGCAUGGGGGUGGGUGGAAAGUUUUUUUCGGUGGAGGAUGUGCUCGAGGCCUAUCAGCUUGUUGGUGAGGUAACGGCUCACCAAGGCUUCGACGGGUAGCCGGCCUGAGAGGGUGACCGGCCACACUGGGACUGAGACACGGCCCAGACUCCUACGGGAGGCUGCAGUGGGGAAUAUUGGACAAUGGGCGGAAGCCUGAUCCAGCAACGCCGCGUGAGGGAUGACGGCCUUCGGGUUGUAAACCUCUUUCAGCUCCGACGAAGCGCCCGUGAGGGUGGUGACGGUAGGUGCAGAAGAAGGACCGGCCAACUACGUGCCAGCCGCCGCGGUAAUAC